rnacentral:rRNA from 1 species
UACGAAGGGGGCUAGCGUUGUUCGGAAUUACUGGGCGUAAAGCGCACGUAGGCGGAUUUUUAAGUCAGGGGUGAAAUCCUGGAGCUCAACUCCAGAACUGCCUUUGAUACUGGCGAUCUUGAGUCCGGGAGAGGUGAGUGGAACUGCGAGUGUAGAGGUGAAAUUCGUAGAUAUUCGCAAGAACACCAGUGGCGAAGGCGGCUCACUGGCCCAAUACUGACGCUGAGGCACGAAAGCGUGGGGAGCAAACAGG